GUAGGGUGCAGGCGUUAAUCGGAAUUACUGGGCGUAAAGCGUGCGCAGGCGGCUCCUUAAGUCAGAUGUGAAAUCCCCGGGCUUAACCUGGGAACUGCGUUUGAAACUGGGGGGCUAGAGUGUGGAGGAGGGGGGUGGAAUUCCAGGUGUAGCAGAGAAAUGCGUAGAGAUCUGGAGGAACACCGAUGGCGAAGGCAGCCACCUGGGCUAACACUGACGCUCAUGCACGAAAGCGUGGGGAGCAAACAGGAUUAGAUACCCUGGUAGUCCACGCCCUAAACGAUGUCAACUGGUUGUCGGGGAAGCUAUUCCUUGGUAACGAAGCUAACGCGUGAAGUUGACCGCCUGGGGAGUACGGCCGCAAGGUUA
rnacentral:rRNA from 1 species